GUAGUAAUUAGAUAAUUAAUUGUAUUAUCUAGCUAUGUCCUGCAUUGUAAUGUAUUAUCUAGCUAUGUCCUGCAAAAACCUGGUUUUGUACAACUUAUGUCUGUUUGGCAUGUUGUUUUUAAUUUUGAUUUCUGGAGUUUUCUGGUUUUCCUCUUUAAACAGCGUAGGCAUACCAGUGCGAAGCUUGUACAACAGUUUUACAAACCAUGAUUUUCCAUAUUGAAUGAUUCACUGUAAGUGUAUUGCAAAUCAUAAGGACAAAAAGAAGAGAUAACGACAUGACAUCAUAAGCCAGAAAUCAU
rnacentral:lncRNA from 1 species